AGGGAUCAUUACCGAGUUAUACAACUCAUCAACCCUGUGAACAUACCUAUAACGUUGCCUCGGCGGGAACAGACGGCCCCGUAACACGGGCCGCCCCCGCCAGAGGACCCCCUAACUCUGUUUCUAUAAUGUUUCUUCUGAGUAAACAAGCAAAUAAAUUAAAACUUUCAACAACGGAUCUCUUGGCUCUGGCAUCGAUGAAGAACGCAGCGAAAUGCGAUAAGUAAUGUGAAUUGCAGAAUUCAGUGAAUCAUCGAAUCUUUGAACGCACAUUGCGCCCGCCAGUAUUCUGGCGGGCAUGCCUGUUCGAGCGUCAUUACAACCCUCAGGCCCCCGGGCCUGGCGUUGGGGAUCGGCGGAAGCCCCCUGCGGGCACAACGCCGUCCCCCAAAUACAGUGGCGGUCCCGCCGCAGCUUCCAUUGCGUAGUAGCUAACACCUCGCAACUGGAGAGCGGCGCGGCCACGCCGUAAAACACCCAACUUCUGAAUGUUGACCUCGAAUCAGGUAGGAAUACCCGCUGAACUUAA
rnacentral:rRNA from 4 species